ACGGAAGGCAGCAGUGGGGAAUAUUGCACAAUGGGGGAAACCCUGAUGCAGCGACGCCGCGUGAGCGAAGAAGUAUUUCGGUAUGUAAAGCUCUAUCAGCAGGGAAGAAAAUGACGGUACCUGACUAAGAAGCCCCGGCUAACUACGUGCCAGCAGCCGCGGUAAUACGUAGGGGGCAAGCGUUAUCCGGAUUUACUGGGUGUAAAGGGAGCGUAGACGGCAAGGUAAGUCUGAAGUGAAGUGCCGGGGCUCGACCCCGGAACUGCUUUGGAAACUAUCUCGCUCGAGUACCGGAGGGGUAAGCGGAAUUCCUAGCGUAGCGGUGAAAUGCGUAGAUAUUAGGAGGAACACCAGUGGCGAAGGCGGCUUACUGGACGGUAACUGACGUUGAGGCUCGAAAGCGUGGGGAGCAAACAGGAUUAGAUACCCUGGUA
rnacentral:rRNA from 1 species